AGCCCUCUGUAUCCGUGCUGAGAUUUCGUCGGAGAUCAACUCGUUGCGGGCUGAUGAUACUUCCCAAAUAAGUGAAGCG
rnacentral:pre_miRNA from 1 species